rnacentral:rRNA from 1 species
UACAGAGGGUGCGAGCGUUGUCCGGAAUCACUGGGCGUAAAGCGUCUGUAGGUGGUUUAAAAAGUCCACUGUUAAAGAUUGAAGCUUAACUUCAAAAAUGCCGUGGAAACUUUUAAACUUGAGUAUGAUAGGGGUAGAGGGAAUUUCCAGUGGAGCGGUGAAAUGCGUAGAUAUUGGAAAGACCACCGAUGGCGAAGGCACUCUACUGGGCCACUACUGACACUGAGAGACGAAAGCUAGGGGAGCAAAUGGG